rfam:Dipodomys ordii contig_69738, whole genome shotgun sequence.
GGUGGCUCAGCAGUAGAGCACUUGCCUUGCAUGCAUGAGGCCCUGGGUUCAAUUCCUCAGCACCA